rnacentral:lncRNA from 1 species
GCAAAAUCCUCAGAUGGAUAUGUGUUUGGCAUGCUAAAGAACAGCAAGAAGGCCACUGUAGUAAGAUCAAACAGAGCAAGGGGGAUGAUAUAAUAGAAUUUUGUCCAGAGGUAACGGAGGACCCAUCAUGUAGGGCCUUAUAGACCUUAACAGAACUUUGUCUUUGGUUCUAUUUGAGAUGAGAAGUUGUUGACAUCAUCUGCAUUAUGAUUUAACAGGAUGACUCUGGGCACUGUGUUAACAAGAGACUGAAGGGGACAAGAGUAGAAACGGAUAACCAGUUUGGAGUCUACUGUAGCAAUUCUGGUAACAGAUGAUGACGUCGGCCAGUAACAGCAGAAGUGAAAAUAUGUGGUAGAUUAUGGGUAUAUUGUGAGGGUAAAUCUAUUUGAACUUUUUUAUGGUGUGAGAAGGAAAGAAGAAGCAUGGACGACUCUAAGAAAACUUGAUUUGAUAUGAGCUAAAAGGGGGAAGAAAAGUAAAAAGCAGGUAAAGUUCAGAGACCCGCUCUAGAUGUGAUAAAUUAAAUGUACCCAUGAAACUCCAAGGGCAGAUGUCAAGAGAGCAGUUGCAUGUAUGUGUCUGGAUUUCACGAGAAAGAUCCAGAUUGAUAAUCAUUAAUGAGUUAUUAAGACUUAAAACCAAGAGAUUCAAUAAGAUUACCAAGGAAAUGAGUGCAACUAGAGAAAAGAAGAAGAUCAUUUACUGAGACGAGGAACACUCCAAUAUUAAAACGAGGGAGGUAGAGUGGAAUCAGUAAAGACUAAGGAAUGGUCAAUAAGGAGGAUGAAAACCAGUAGAGAGUGGUGUCUUGAAAGCCCAGUGAAAAAAGCACUUCAAAAAGAAAGGAAAUAUGUGAUUUAUCAGGUUGAAUGCUGCUGAAAGGACAAAUAAAAUGAGGAUUGAGAAUUUGACCUUUGGAUUUAGUAACUUGAAAUCAUUGUUGACAAGAGCAUCUUUACUAAAAUGAUAGAAACAAAGACACAAUUUGAGUGGGUUUAAAAGAGAAUGAGAAAGGAGGAACUAGAAGUGACUAUAUGCCAUAUUUUUUAGGGGUUUUGUGGUAGAGGAGAGCAAAGAAAUGGAGUGAUAGGCUACAGGGAAAAAUAGGGUAAAGAGAGGGUUUAUUUGAGAUUAUUAAAAUAAUAGCAUAUAAGUAGAUGAAUGAAAAUAAUUCAACUGGAGAAAAAAAUUGAUGAUGCAAGAGAGGAGCAUUUCUGGAGUAAUAUUCCUGAGAAUGUGAGAAGGCUGGAAUCUGAUAAACAAUUGAAGAGGCUGUCCUUACUAGGAACACGGACACCUCAUCUACAGCAAGAGGAAAGUGAGUAUAAGGGUGAGGAUGCCAGUUGGUGGAUAGAUGUGGUGUGGGAACUUGUGGACCUCUUCUGAUUGCCACAGUUUGCUCAGUGAAAUUGAAAGCAAAUUUAUCAGCUGAGAGAGGAAGAGUGAAUUGUUGUUGAAGAUACAGAUAUUUUGCCCUUUUGGAAACUGAAGAUAAAACAGAAAAAGAAAAGAAUUUUAAGAUAUGUUAAUCUAGCAAAACUAACAUAAGAAUGGCCACCGUGAAUUUCAUGAAAUUUUGCCACAGAGCAAUACUAAAAACUGAAUGAUUAUGCCUUUUUCCAUAUUUUAAUUAAAACUGAAAUGAAAAUACUCACUGUUGGAAAGUAA